UACAGAGGUCCCAAGCGUUGUUCGGAUUCAUUGGGCGUAAAGGGUGCGUAGGCGGCGCGGUAAGUCGGGUGUGAAAUCUCGGGGCUUAACUCCGAAACUGCAUUCGAUACUGCCGUGCUUGAGGACUGGAGAGGAGACUGGAAUUCAUGGUGUAGCAGUGAAAUGCGUAGAGAUCAUGAGGAAGACCAGUGGCGAAGGCGGGUCUCUGGACAGUUCCUGACACUGAGACACGAAGGCCAGGGGAGCAAACGGG
rnacentral:rRNA from 1 species